rnacentral:rRNA from 1 species
UACGAAGGGGGCUAGCGUUGCUCGGAAUCACUGGGCGUAAAGCGCACGUAGGCGGACUCUUAAGUCGGUGGUGAAAUCCUGGAGCUCAACUCCAGAACUGCCUUCGAUACUGAGAGUCUCGAGUCCGAGAGAGGUGAGUGGAACUGCGAGUGUAGAGGUGAAAUUCGUAGAUAUUCGCAAGAACACCAGUGGCGAAGGCGGCUCACUGGCUCGGUACUGACGCUGAGGUGCGAAAGCGUUGGGAGCAAACAGG